GACGAACGCUGGCGGCGUGCUUAACACAUGCAAGUCGAACGGAGAGGCCCUGCUUUUGUGGGGUGCUCGAGUGGCAAACGGGUGAGUAACACGUGAGUAACCUGCCCUUGACUUUGGGAUAACUUCAGGAAACUGGGGCUAAUACCGGAUAGGAGCUCCUGCUGCAUGGUGGGGGUUGGAAAGUUUCGGCGGUUGGGGAUGGACUCGCGGCUUAUCAGCUUGUUGGUGGGGUAGUGGCUUACCAAGGCUUUGACGGGUAGCCGGCCUGAGAGGGUGACCGGCCACAUUGGGACUGAGAUACGGCCCAGACUCCUACGGGAGGCAGCAGUGGGGAAUAUUGCACAAUGGGCGGAAGCCUGAUGCAGCAACGCCGCGUGCGGGAUGACGGCCUUCGGGUUGUAAACCGCUUUCGCCUGUGACGAAGCGUGAGUGACGGUAAUGGGUAAAGAAGCACCGGCUAACUACGUG
rnacentral:rRNA from 1 species